rnacentral:rRNA from 1 species
GACAGAGGGUGCAAACGUUGCUCGGAAUUACUGGGCGUAAAGGGCGCGUAGGCGGACAGUUUAGUCAGAGGUGAAAGCCCAGGGCUCAACCUUGGAAUAGCCUUUGAUACUGGCUGUCUUGAGUACGGGAGAGGUGUGUGGAACUCCGAGUGUAGAGGUGAAAUUCGUAGAUAUUCGGAAGAACACCAGUGGCGAAGGCGACACACUGGCCCGUUACUGACGCUGAGGCGCGAAAGCGUGGGGAGCAAACAGG